rnacentral:rRNA from 1 species
CCCGCACAAGCAGUGGAGUAUGUGGUUUAAUUUCGAAGCAACGCGAAGAACCUUUACCAGGGCUUGACAUCCCUUGAAGCAGCUAGAGAUAGCUGUGUCCUUCGGGACAAGGAGACAGGUGGUGCAUGGUUGUCGUCAGCUCGUGUCGUGAGAUGUUGGGUUAAGUCCCGCAACGAGCGCAACCCCUGUGGUUAGUUGCCAGCAAGUAGCGUUGGGCACUCUAGCCAGACUGCCGGUGAUAAAUCGGAGGAAGGUGGGGACGACGUCAAAUCAUCAUGCCCUUUAUGUCCUGGGCUACACACGUACUACAAUGGCCGUUACAACGGGAAGCGAAGGAGCAAUCCGGAGCAAAUCCCUUAAAGGCGGUCCCAGUUCAGAUUGUGGGCUGAAACUCGCCCACAUGAAGGCGGAAUUGCUAGUAAUUGCAGAUCAGCAUGCUGCAGUGAAUACGUUCCCGGGCCUU